rnacentral:rRNA from 1 species
UUAAAGGGCCGUGGUAUACUGACCAUGCGAAGGUAGCAUAAUCAUUAGCCUUUUGAUUUGAGGCUGGAAUGAAUGGUCUGACGAGAGGCAACCUGUCUCCUCAAUUAACUUGAAUUUAAUCUUUAAGUGAAAAAGCUUAAAUAGCCUUGGAGGACGAUAAGACCCUAUAGAUCUUUACAUCCGGCUCUUUCAUCUAACGGUGGGUAAUCGGGUGGAAGAGAAGGAUGUUUGGUUGGGGCGACGUCGAGAGGAGAAUAAACACUCGAGAAUAUACAUACAUCAAUAAAUGAUCAUUGAUCCUUAGAUGAAAAUAGAGUAAGUUACCUUAGGGAUAACAGCGUAAUUCUUUUUGAGAGCUCAAAUCGACAAAAGAGUUUGCGACCUCGAUGUUGGUUCAGGGACCCUAUUUGGUGCAGCAGCUUAAUCAGGUAGUC